UACGGGGGGGGCAAGCGUUGUUCGGAAUUACUGGGCGUAAAGGGCUCGUAGGCGGCCAACUAAGUCAUACGUGAAAUCCCUCGGCUUAACCGGGGAACUGCGUCUGAUACUGGAUGGCUUGAGUUCGGGAGAGGGAUGCGGAAUUCCAGGUGUAGCGGUGAAAUGCGUAGAUAUCUGGAGGAACACCGGUGGCGAAGGCGGCAUCCUGGACCGAUACUGACGCUGAGGAGCGAAAGCCAGGGGAGCAAACGGGGAU
rnacentral:rRNA from 1 species